GGAAAACAGAUUCAAGACAUUACUGUAUCACUCGAGAAGAAGCUGAAGUCUAACAGGAUCUGCUGUGUGCCCAAAUGUCACACCACUGGCUAAGGAUUGUUAGAAGGCUAUGGAAAGCCCAGCUAUCAUGCAUUUCCAGCUGAAGAUGAUCCAGUUCAAGCUGUUUGGUUGAAUAAAAUACGAAGAGAUGAAGACAGACAUUUUAAGAUAAGUCACAAUACGGUUGUCUGUUUUCUCCAUUUUGAACGUGACUGUCUUGAUGAAUCUGGAUUUGCUAAGCAGAGGUAUCUAAAACCAGGAGCCAUCCCUACACUAUUCGACUGCUGGAAGGACAAACCACAUCUGUUGAAGCGAAUUCAAGUGGAACGUGCAAUUAACAAGAUUAAAAGUUUUCACAUAUUUGAUCAGGUCAUUCUGGUUUCUCUGUUUGGGAUAAUUAAUCAAAUUUGGACAGUUUGCUCAUAGCUCACUCUUUUCCAAGACCCAAUUAUACCAUGUCCUGGUGUUUAACAUACAUACCAUUUAUAUGAACAUUUGUUGUUCGUGUACAUCAUACUACAUGUAGGCUAGUGAAAAACCAUUGGCUGUUCAUGUAAUAUUUGUACAUUUUUUGGCUUUGUAUAAAGUUUUUGAUAAUUAUCUUGAUAUAAGCAUUGAUUUAGUUACAGAUUAAUGCUUAAAGAGUACUUAAAGCUACACACCUUGAAAUAAAGUACAUGUUCAUAUAGAUGCAAUUUGAAAGUGUGCAAAAUUUUCAUUAAAUCUAUAGUCUAGUUAGCAAGUAAUUUAUUAUUUUUCAAACAGGAAUAACUGCUUUUAAAACUGAAAGAAGGAUUUCUAUAUUAAACACGAUUAUUUUUAACUUUUUGAAGCGCAAAAAAAGAUGGCUUUCUACCUUGUUACCACCAGAUAUAUUCUAGUUGGCAUAAUAAAAUUAAAUCUAUAGCCUAGUUUAAUAGCAAGUUAUUUUUUUUUCAAACAGUACUGCUUUUAAAACUGAAAGUAGGAUUUCCAGACGUACACAUCCAUUUCGACAAACACGAUUAUUUUUAAGUUGUAAAGUGCAAAAAAGAUGGAUUUCUACCUUGUAACCACCAGAUAUAUUCUAAUUGGCAUAGAUAAAAUAUGUCACUCAUACUUAAAUUUACUAUGCCAAAUAAGGUGUGUGGCCUUUACAUAAAAAUUGUAUAUACAUCUUUUUAAUCAUGUUUGUUAAUUUGUUUUGAUUGUAUGACUACUGAAUAAAUAAUUUUGUUAAUAGAAAUUUUAGUUUUUUUUGGGAAAUAUUAGGUAAAACUAAGAAAGUCCAAUGCAUAUUGAGACAAAUCAGUACUUAAGUUCGUUUCCUGGGAAGAACCAUUACUGAUUCUCAAUGGGGAUCGAAACUGGUUGCUCCAGAUUGCUUAGCAGACACCAUAGCAACUAUUUCACUAAGACUCUGCUACAGAUUUGCGUAAUCCUUUGAGUGAAAACACUUUGUAAUCAAUGAUAUAAGCUUUAUUACAACAGAAAUAAUGCAAGAUAAGCACAUUUGAGUAGCAUAGUUCAUCACAAAACAGUAUGAAGUAUCAUUAAUUGUAAGAUUAAUGAUGAAAGACAACAUGUGAAAGCUAGAAAUCAUAAACUAAUUUAAGGAAACACAAUCUGAAAAUUACAAACAUUCAGAUACAGGUAUUGCACCAAAAUGAGCUGAGAUCCUAUGAUUAUAUUGAAUGAAUAAAUGUGAUUUGAGGUGAAUCUCACAAAUACUGACACUAAAAUAACACAAAAUUGAAUACUUUCAAAUAUAAUUUAGAUUAUUUCAAUACUCUUUAUUUCUGAUUACCGGUUUUUCAUGGAGCGGAAACACUUGCAUCUAACAAUUGUUGAACUGUUACGUUCAGAUGUCCAUGUGUCGAAUACAUAA